UUAUUGAUUUACAUAUUUGAACCAUCCCUGUACAUUAACAUGAAGCCAAGUGAUCAUGGUACCUGUGUCUACUCAAUAAACCUCUUGCGAUUUGCAUCCGUGCGGUCUCGGCCUGUUCCUUGGUGUUGGGGAAAAGAGGUCCUCACCGAGGGUCUUUCAUUUGGUGCGUUGGCCGGGAAAUUGAGACCCCCCACCCAGGGAUCACCGACUCACCAACGGGAGUUACCCACCAGCCCACUUGGGAUGAUUGCCAGCAACUCUUGCAAGCCCUGCUGACCUUGGAGGAAAAGCAAAGAGUCUUUUUGGAGGCUCGGAAAAACGUCCCAGGUGACAACGGGAGCCCAACCCUUUUGCCUAACGAAAUUGACGAGGCCUUCCCUCUGACGCGACCUGACUGGGAUUUCACUACAG